GGGAAAUAUACCAAAAAGAGAGGUAAGAACGGGAUGAAAAAAGCAGAAACAAAUCUUCGACAACUAAGUCACACUGUCGCAUGCACGGUGUCAUUAAUUUGGAUUUUU
rnacentral:ribozyme from 11 species